CACGUUCCCGUUUGUGAGCCAAGCCUUGCUUUUGCACCGGCCGGGCUCUGCCUAGAAACGCAUACCCGUCUCAAACCUGGGCUUUAAAAUCACCUCCUGUGGGACGCCUUCCUCUACUUCUCACAGUUCAGGGUUGCAGGGAUCUGCCCCUCUCGAUUUCCACGUAUUGUUUUCUGGAGGUCUGUGAGGUUGGAAGAAGAAACCUGAUGGUGCUUCACCCAGGAGCUUUCUUCCCCGUGGGGUGGGCAGAACUCUGGAACAGUCCAGACGUCUGGCUUCAUGGCCAAGCUCCACUUUGCAAUUGAGAUAGGGUCUGGCUAUGUUGCCCAGGCUGGCCUCAAACUCCUGAGCUCAAGCAAUACUCCUGCCUCAGCCUCCCAAGUAGCUGGGACAACAGGCCAGCACCACUGUACCUGGCUUUGAUGUAACUUUGUAACUCUUCAAAACUCCUUCCCACAUGUCUUUCCUUUUGGGUCCUCCCCACACCUUAUGCUGCAGGCAAGACUAGAAUUAUUCAUGUAUCCACAAUUGUGGAAACUGAGGCACAAAGAAAUUAAGCCACUUGCUUGAGAUCACAGUGAAGGAAGAAUUUGGAAGCAAAUUGAAGAUGUAAAACCUGGGCCUCCUGACUUCUAGAUACCACCAUGCAGCAAUUUGGAUCUGAAAGAAAGCACACAGCUUACGCCCGGACAGAGCAGCCGGUGUCUAGCUGUGCCCACUUGCCCCACCCAGCCCCCACCUGUGUGCCACCUGGCAGUCAUAUGCACAUUCAUUACAGGGGAGCUGGCUGACUCACACAUUAUACUGGGACUGACUCAUGCUUUGCAAGAGGGAGAGUGAGAAUCAGUUGGCCACAGGAGCCCCUGCUUUCCACAUCGAGGCUUGAGAUUCAUGCCUCAAAUCCACAGCAGUUUAGUUCUUUAAAAAGGGAAAGCACUGUGAGCUGGCUGGAGCUGGGGAUCUCUGGACUCAGAGAAGAGUGGUUUGGUUCAACUCUGGGCUCUGUUACAAGUUGACUGGGUGACUUCAGGCAAGUCAUUGUCCCUCAGUCUCUUCGGCUUUGUAACAAAGGGGUUGCAACAGAUAAGUGCCAAGACUUUUCAAGCAUCUGAAAGACUGUUCUUGCUCUGGUUUGAGAAACCUCGUCAUAAUAAUGUUGUAUGUGUUACUAAUUUACUAUGUGCCAGGUAAGUGAUUGGUAUGGGGUUAUUAAUAUCUCAUUUAAUUCUCAUAAUGAAUUCUAGAUUUACUAUUUUUUGUCCUAUUUCUCAAAGGAGGAAACUGAAGCACAGUUUCAGAGUGAUUUUCGCAAGGUGGAGCAGGUCAGCAAGUGGCCGAGCUAAGAAUUAAACCUGGUUUGUCCCCAGACUUUGCAUAAAAUCUAGUCUAAGGCUGGGCAUGGUGACUCAUGCCCUUAAUCCCAGCACUUUGGGAGGCUGCGGCGGGUGGAUCACGAGGUCAGGAGUUGGAGACCAGCCUGGCCAACAUGGUGAAACCCCGUCUCUAC